ensembl:lncRNA
CAAGGAGUUGCAACCUGUGGUUGCUAGAAAGUACAGAAGGAAGUAUUCAGUAUAUCUUGCUGUUUCUAUGUCUCAUGAUGAUGAACUUUGCCCUCCUUAGGAGCUGAACCACUGGAGCUGGCCUGGCUCUGAACAUGAAUUUAGCAGAGGACAAUUCUUCCUCUUCCUUAGAGAAGACCUCAGAUUGUCCAGAGCACCAAGCAGCCACUCCACAUCCUGGAAUUAGCCCUCUGUCUUCCACAUACUGCUCUGUCAAUGUGGAAGGGGAUGGUACCCAUCCUACUAGCCCAUCUCAAGAACCUGUUUCAACCAACACUGCAAGCCCAGCUGAAACACCUGGUUUGACCAAAUUUUCUAGUUUGGCACAAACACCCAUUUCAACUAGCCCUGCUAGCCUGUCUAAAACAUAUAGUUUGACACACACACCUAUUCUGUAUGAAACACCCGCUUUUACUAACCCUGCUGGCCCAGCUCAGGGAUUUGUUUCAACCAACCCUGUUAGCUUACUUCAAACAACUGUUUUAACCAAUCCUGCUAGCCCAGCUGAAACGAUUGUUUCAACCAACCCUGUUAGCUUACUUCAAACAACUGUUUUAACCAAUCCUGCUAGCCCAGCUGAAACGAUUGUUUCAACCAACCCUGUUAGCUUACUUCAAACAACUGUUUUAACCAACCCUGCUAGCCCACCUCAAACCGCUGUUUCACCCAACCCUACUAGCCCGUCUGGACCUAUUGGUUCACCCCAUAAACAGAGCACAGCUGAAGAAGGAAUUGUGUCAUGGCCCCAGGGUAAACAAUCCAAUAGGGGAAGGCCACCAAAACAUCUGACUGUUCCUAAACAUCGGCACCAGUUCUCUACACAUGCACG